rnacentral:rRNA from 1 species
UACGUAGGGUGCAAGCGUUGUCCGGAAUUAUUGGGCGUAAAGAGCUCGUAGGCGGUUUGUCGCGUCUGCUGUGAAAACUCGGGGCUUAACUCCGGGCCUGCAGUGGGUACGGGCAGACUAGAGUGCGGUAGGGGAGACUGGAAUUCCUGGUGUAGCGGUGAAAUGCGCAGAUAUCGGGAAGAACACCCGUGGCGAAGGCGGCUCUCUGGGACGGUACUGGACGCUGAGACGCGAAAGCGUGGGGGAGCGAACAGG